rnacentral:rRNA from 1 species
UACGUAGGCAGCGAGCGUUGUUCGGAAUUACUGGGCGUAAAGGGUGAGUAGGUGGCGCUAUAAGUUCGGUGUGAAAUCUCCCGGCUCAACUGGGAGGGUGCGCCGAAAACUGUGGUGCUCGAGUGUGGGAGAGGUAAGCGGAAUUCCUGGUGUAGCGGUGAAAUGCGUAGAUAUCAGGAGGAACACCGGCGGUGUAGACGGCUUACUGGACCAUUACUGACACUGAAUCACGAAAGUGUGGGUAGCAAACAGG